GAUGAAGAACGUAGCGAAAUGCGAUAAGUAAUGUGAAUUGCAGAACUCAGUGAAUCAUCGAGUCUUUGAACGCACAUUGCGCCCCCUGGUAUUCCGGGGGGCAUGCCUGUCCGAGCGUCAUUGCUGCCCUCAAGCACGGCUUGUGUGUUGGGCCUCCGUCCUCCUCCCGGGGGACGGGCCCGAAAGGCAGCGGCGGCACCGCGUCCGGUCCUCGAGCGUAUGGGGCUUCGUCACCCGCUCUUGUAGGCCCGGCCGGCGCUUGCCGACACAUCAAUCUUUUUUCCAGGUUGACCGCGGAUCAGGUAGGGAUACCCGCUGAACUUAAGCAUACAAUAAGCGGAGGA
rnacentral:misc_RNA from 1 species